rnacentral:rRNA from 1 species
UACGGGGGGGGCAAGCGUUGUUCGGAAUUACUGGGCGUAAAGGGCUCGUAGGCGGCCAACUAAGUCAGACGUGAAAUCCCUCGGCUUAACCGGGGAACUGCGUCUGAUACUGGAUGGCUUGAAUCCGGGAGAGGGAUGUGGAAUUCCAGGUGUAGCGGUGAAAUUCGUAGAUAUUCGGAAGAACACCAGUGGCGAAGGCGGCUCACUGGACCGGCAUUGACGCUGAGGUGCGAAAGCGUGGGGAGCAAACAGG